rnacentral:rRNA from 1 species
GACGAACGCUGGCGGCGUGCCUAAUACAUGCAAGUGGGACGCAAGAGGACACACUGUGCUUGCACACCGUGUUUUCUUGAGUCGCGAACGGGUGAGUAACGCGUAGGUAACCUGCCUAUUAGCGGGGGAUAACUAUUGGAAACGAUAGCUAAUACCGCAUAAUAUUAAUUAUUGCAUGAUAAUUGAUUGAAAGAUGCAAGCGCAUCACUAGUAGAUGGACCUGCGUUGUAUUAGCUAGUUGGUAAGGUAAGAGCUUACCAAGGCGACGAUACAUAGCCGACCUGAGAGGGUGAUCGGCCACACUGGGACUGAGACACGGCCCAGACUCCUACGGGAGGCAGCAGUAGGGAAUCUUCGGCAAUGGACGAAAGUCUGACCGAGUAACGCCGCGUGAGUGAAGAAGGUUUUCGGAUCGUAAAGCUCUGUUGUAAGUCAAGAACGUGUGUGAGAGGGAAAGUUCACACA